CAACUCUUGGAUUUAAACACCUUUGAUGGUUUUCAGUCCACUGAAAUUAUUAUCCUUAUCAAAGCUCACAUUGUCCCAUUUCUGGCCAGUGGAAGCCUCUCUUCAAUUUUAGCUCUUGAGUCCUGUUUAUACAACCCCAGUCAUCUUUGAUAGCUUCCUUGCUUUCUGGUAUAACAAGAUGUCCUAUCCCUGAACCCACCAUUUCUCUAAAUAGCUGAGGAGAUGAGUUUUAAUCAGGAGCUUGUCUGGUUUUACCUUCUAACCUCAUCCUUGCCCAUGAACCUUCGUUAAUUCAAUUGCUGAUCAUUUUCUGCAGUUCCAGGGCAAGCUUCUGUGGCCACCCUGAGAGGCAGGGAUACCUACUGCUCUUGUUACCGAACCGGGUUUGUUUUUGCCCACCGCCCAGAAAGCCAAACACCGAGACGACAAGAUUGCAACAGAGAGAGAGUUUACUCACAAGGCAGCCACGCAAAAAAAAAAAGGAAAAGAAAAAGAACACCCACCUCCCCUCAUGAAGCAGCAGCAUUUGUAGGCACAGUGUGGUCUAAAUCCAUUCUUGGAAAAUAAAUUUACCAAAGGAAACAUUCUGCAUGCAGAGAGGGGCCAGCCCUGUUGGUAACUCUGGUGCACUCUGCUUCAGCGGCCCGGGUUCGCUGGUUCAGAUCCCAGAUGUGGACCUACACCACUUGUCAAGCCAUGCUGUGGUGGUGAUCCACAUAAAAAAGAGAGGAGGAUUGACACAGAUCUGUAUCUUCCUCAAGCAAAAAAUGAGGAAGAUUGACAACAGAUGUUGGCUCAGAGAGAAUCUUCCUCACCAAAGAAAAAAAAUUGCUUUCCAGAAAGAUAUAUCAAUUUAUAUUUUCACCAUCAGCAUUCUAUUAGUACAACUGAGGAGGGGCAUCUUUUUACACAGUUAACGGCCAUUUAUUUUUCUUCUGUGAAUUGCCUUCUCCUUUCUACCUAUUUUUCUAUUGUGUUAUUUGGUUUUUCCUUGUAUUUUUGUAAGAGUUCAUGCAUCUGUUCAUUAAUUCAUUAAGCCAAUAAAUAAAUAUUUGAUUACCUA
rnacentral:lncRNA from 1 species